UCAACGUUUCGGGCAUAAGCCCUUCCUGAAGAAGGGCUUAUGCCCGAAACGUCGAUUCUCCUGUUCCAUAUAUAGACAGGGCCAGUGAAUCAGUAUAAAGAAAGCUUGACUAUGGAACAGUGGCUAAAAUGCUUAGCAGUGAUAAUGCUUAGACGUGGAAAAGUGACAGAAUGCUAGACAUUAAAAUGAGUUAACUAUGCCAAUAGCGUGAGGAUCUCUCUGAAGCACAAGUUAAAUGUUUAGAGAUUCUCUUCUCUUUAUAUACUUCAUAAUCUACAAGCUCUACAUCCAUUUGCAACCUACCUUUCCUCCUUCGUCAAACCAGACUAAAGUCAAUCUUGAUCAAGUUCAUGAUCUCCUCUUGCUUCUCCCUUGGCAUUAGCCAACAUGUAACAAGCCCUGGAGCGAGAGGGGAUAGAAUUCUACAUGUGGUCUCAGAAAAUGAAGCUGGGCAAGUAGAUGAAUUUGCAGUACAUGACCACUUUGAAGAUGGUGAAAAUAAUUAGAUCUAGCAUUGUUAUGGAAAGAAAUAAAGAACAAGAGUAAAAGUUCUAGAUUGUGGGUGGGUAAGUAUUUUGAAGCUGAGGGGGUGAUCUGGCAAAUAUAGACUUGAUACAGCUACUUGAAGGAAAAUUGGUGACAUACCAUUGAGAAGCAAUCAAAAGCCAGGUUCUGUGAUCACACUGUAGACAUGUACCCACAAAAAAAGACUGGCACUGCCAAAUUUGGAGCCUCAUGAUUGUCCAGAAGCAUACAGGAUAAGGUAAAGAAAGGGAAAAAAAAUUGCUGUACAAAGUAUGGGGUGAGUGACAUCUAAGUGAGAUUUGGAAAACAAGGAAAGGAUAUGACCAUAUUGGCAGGUCAUGGAGAGCCCAAAGAUGCUGCCUCAGUACACUAAGAGCAGGAGGAUAACUUAAGUAGGGCCCAUCACUGAUUUACAAUAUGACUUAGCUGUGCAAGAUGUGUGCCAGGUUCUUGAUGACUAUGUUGUUUCUAGCCUCAUAAAGAGGGGUGAUGCAUACUUUCUUGUGAAAGGGCAGUGUGAAAUAUUAGGUACUAUUUGUAUACUGU